CGUAAAUAGGUAUAAAACUUUAUAAAAUAUAGAAACACUUUGCAUGAAAACUAAACUAGAACACAACUGAAAUGCAACACGAGUACACAACACAACGAAAAGUAGAUCAAAACUUCAAGAUGAACUUAUAAAUAAUAUAAAUAUGUGCAGAUGUUUUGAAAGAAAUAAUGGUGAAAGAUAUUGAAGAAGUUGAGGUGUUUGAAAUUAUGUGAUGAAGCAAGGUGAAAUAUAAAAUAUGUUUUAUACAUGGACUUCUUAAUUUAUUUUUAUUAAAUUAAUAUAUAGGUGUUAUAAACAAGAACAAAUGGCAUUAUGUGUAAGGUAUGUUAAAAUCUAGAUGUUGUUGAGAGAUUUCUCGAUUUUAUAGAUUGUUCUAAGAAUCAAGAUGCUGAAAGUUUAUAUCAUUACAUAUUUUGAUACCUGAAAAAGUGUAAACUUUGCCACAAAUAGUUGCUCAAUCAUAUGAUGGUGAAAAGGUUAUGCCUGGGAUAUUUAAUGGACUACAAAAUAAAAUAAAAAAAAAUCAAUAUCCUUACGAUAUUUAUGCCCACUGUAUGGCUCAUAAAAUGAACCUCAUUUUAAUUGAUAUGUGUAAAUACGUAAAGGCAAUGAAUAUUUAUACACAUCUUAGAUCUUCAUGAUUUUAUUUAUUACUUAUAUUAAUAUUAGGAAACAAGGCAUGUGUAAUUGAGAUUUAACUUAGAUUCAAACUAAACUAUUAAUAAAACAUUCGAUAAUGACUAGACUUAUUGACACUAGAUGGAAUUGCCGUUAUCGAAAUAUAGAGUCCGUUAAAAAUAGUUAUAAAGCAAUUAUUCAAGCUUUAGAACAAAAAAUUGAAAAUGAAUAUGAUAGAGGAGUAAAUGAAGCAAAUGAACAACGGAGUAUUUCUCUAAGCUUUGGUGUGAAAUAGAAAUCUUUGCUGAAGAUAAUGAAAUAUCAAUACAAACGCCAUCUAAAGGAUGUAAAAGAAAAAUACAAUAGCCACACAAUCUUCAACAUUUUGAUACUAUUGCAACCACAAGUGCUGAACAAAAUAUUAAUGACACCAUUGAAACUAUUGAAGAUUAUUUUAGAAAAAAUGUUUCCUUUCCUGUAUUUAAUGCUAUCUUGAUAAAUCUGGAGAAAAUAUUUUCUAUUGAAAGCCUCCAAAUGGCUACAGCUGUUGAUCAAUUUUUUCAAUUAAACUUGGAGGAAAGUCUUUUCUUUGUAGAUCAUUAUAAAGAUUUGAUGAAUGUAUCUAAAGAUGUAUUACAAUCAGAAAUAGAAGUGAAAAAUAAUUGUAUAUUGUAAUCUACCGAUGAAAAUUAUAAAACUUUAAAUGAUGUGAAAAAGGUUUUAACAAAACAGACUUUCCCUAAUUUAUAAAAACUAUUUCAAGUUACUUUAACAAUUCCUAUAAGUUCCUCCACUCGUGAAAGGAGUUUUUCGGCCAUGCGUAGAAUAAAAACUUGGCUUAGAACUUCUAUGCUGUAGGAAAGGUUCAACAACACCUCAAUAUUAUAUAUUGAAAAAUAAAUUUCUAAAUCUAUUAAUACUGAAACAAUUGU